rnacentral:rRNA from 1 species
CAGCCGUAAACUAUGCGCGUUAGGUGUACUGGUGACCACGAGUCACCGGGUGCCGAAGGGAAACCGUGAAACGUGCCGCCUGGGAAGUACGGUCGCAAGGCUGAAACUUAAAGGGAAUUGGGCGGGGGAGCACCACAACGGGUGGAGCCUGCGGUUUAAUUGGAUUCAACGCCGGACAUCUCACCGGAUAAGACAGCUGAAUGAUUGUCAAUCUGAAGGUUUUACAUGACUAGCUGAGAGGUGGUGCAUGGCGUAGUCGUGU